rnacentral:rRNA from 1 species
CAGCAGCCGCGGGAAUACGUAGGGUGCAAGCGUUAAUCGGAAUUACUGGGCGUAAAGCGUGCGCAGGCGGUUAUAUAAGACAGAUGUGAAAUCCCCGGGCUCAACCUGGGAACUGCAUUUGUGACUGUAUAGCUAGAGUACGACAGAGGGGGAUGGAAUUCCGCGUGUAGCAGUGAAAUGCGUAGAUAUGCGGAGGAACACCGAUGGCGAAGGCAAUCCCCUGGGCCUGUACUGACGCUCAUGCACGAAAGCGUGGGGAGCAAACAGGAUUAGAUACCCCUGUAGUCCCUGUCUCUUAUAC